rnacentral:rRNA from 1 species
AGCGAACGCUGGCGGCAUGCCUAACACAUGCAAGUCGAACGGCACCACCGUAAGAGCUUGCGCACACGUGCGUCGCGCGGCGGACGCUUCCCGAAUACUCCGGAUAACUCCCUUUAGGGGGGGCUAAUACCGGGUAAUUUCUGCUAACCAAGCAUUUGUCGCCUUGGUGUAAGCACGCGUUCUUUUGGCUUUUUGGUAGUGUAAGAGCCGAGGUCGGCUACGCUAGUUAGCGGGGUAAAGGCGCACCACGGCGACGAUCGGUAGCUGGUCUGAGAGGUUGGUCAGCCACACUGGAAGUGAGACACGGUCCAGACUCCUGCGGGAGGAAGCAGUGGGGAAUAUUGGACAAGGGGCGCAAGCCUGAUCCAGCCAUACCGCGUGGGGGAAGAAGGCGUUCGGGUUGUAAAGCCAUUUUGUUGGGAAAGAAAAGCAGCAGGUUAAUACCCCGCUGUUCUGACGGUACCCAAAGAAUAAGCACCGGCUAACUUCGUG